rnacentral:rRNA from 1 species
GACGAACGCUGGCGGCGUGCUUAACACAUGCAAGUCGAGCGGAAAGGCCCUGCUUUUGUGGGGUGCUCGAGUGGCGAACGGGUGAGUAACACGUGAGUAACCUGCCCUUGACUUUGGGAUAACUUCAGGAAACUGGGGCUAAUACCGGAUAGGAGCUCCUGCUGCAUGGUGGGGGUUGGAAAGUUUCGGCGGUUGGGGAUGGACUCGCGGCUUAUCAGCUUGUUGGUGGGGUAGUGGCUUACCAAGGCUUUGACGGGUAGCCGGCCUGAGAGGGUGACCGGCCACAUUGGGACUGAGAUACGGCCCAGACUCCUACGGGAGGCAGCAGUGGGGAAUAUUGCACAAUGGGCGGAAGCCUGAUGCAGCAACGCCGCGUGCGGGAUGACGGCCUUCGGGUUGUAAACCGCUUUCGCCUGUGACGAAGCGUGAGUGACGGUAAUGGGUAAAGAAGCACCGGCUAACUACGUGCCAGCAGCCGCGGUGAUACGUAGGGUGCGAGCGUUGUCCGGAUUUAUUGGGCGUGAAGGGCUCGUAGGUGGUUGAUCGCGUCGGAAGUGUAAUCUUGGGGCUUAACCCUGAGCGUGCUUUCGAUACGGGUUGACUUGAGGAAGGUAGGGGAGAAUGGAAUUCCUGGUGGAGCGGUGGAAUGCGCAGAUAUCAGGAGGAACACCAGUGGCGAAGGCGGUUCUCUGGGCCUUUCCUGACGCUGAGGAGCGAAAGCGUGGGGAGCGAACAGGCUUAGAUACCCUGGUAGUCCACGCUGUAAACGGUGGGUACUAGGUGUGGGGUCCAUUCCACGGGUUCCGUGCCGUAGCUAACGCUUUAAGUACCCCGCCUGGGGAGUACGGCCGCAAGGCUAAAACUCAAAGGAAUUGACGGGGCCCCGCACAAGCGGCGGAGCAUGCGGAUUAAUUCGAUGCAACGCGUAGAACCUUACCUGGGUUUGACAUGGAUCGGGAGCGCUCAGAGAUGGGUGUGCCUCUUUUGGGGUCGGUUCACAGGUGGUGCAUGGCUGUCGUCAGCUCGUGUCGUGAGAUGUUGGGUUAAGUCCCGCAACGAGCGCAACCCUUGUUCACUGUUGCCAGCACGUUAUGGUGGGGACUCAGUGGAGACCGCCGGGGUCAACUCGGAGGAAGGUGGGGAUGACGUCAAGUCAUCAUGCCCCUUAUGUCCAGGGCUUCACGCAUGCUACAAUGGCUGGUACAGAGAGUGGCGAGCCUGUGAGGGUGAGCGAAUCUCGGAAAGCCGGUCUCAGUUCGGAUUGGGGUCUGCAACUCGACCUCAUGAAGUCGGAGUCGCUAGUAAUCGCAGAUCAGCAACGCUGCGGUGAAUACGUUCCCGGG